rnacentral:tRNA from 1 species
UUGGGAAAGUUGCUCAGUGGUAUAGCACUUGCCUACCAUGCAGGAGGCCCUGGGUUCAAGUCACAGUACCAAA